AACGAACGCUGGCGGCAUGCCUAACACAUGCAAGUCGAACGAGACCUUCGGGUCUAGUGGCGCACGGGUGCGUACCGCGUGGGAACCUGCCCUUAGGUUCGGAAUACCUCCCCGAAAGGGGUGCUAAUACCGGAUAAUGUCUUCGGACCAAAGAUUUAUCGCCUUUGGAUGGGCCCGCGUUGGAUUAGCUAGUUGGUAGGGUAAAAGCCUACCAAGGCGACGAUCCAUAGCUGGUCUGAGAGGAUGACCAGCCACACUGGGACUGCGACACGGCCCAGACUGCUACGGGAGGGAGCAGUGGGGAAUAUUGGACAAGGGGCGAAAGCCUGAUACAGCAAUGCCGCGUGAGUGAUGAAGGGCGUAGGGUUGUAAAGCUCUUUUACCCGGGAUGAUAAUGACAGUACCGGGAGAAUAAGCACCGGCUAACUCCGUG
rnacentral:rRNA from 1 species